rnacentral:rRNA from 1 species
GGCCUGGCCUGGUGGUCUUGCUGCAAAGUAAGCACUGCCUAGGUCGGGUCUUUCCUUCUGGGGAACCAAUGUGCUCUUAACUGAGUGCGUUGGGGAUCCAGGACUUUUACUUUGAAAAAAUUAGAGUGUUUAAAGCAGGCCUACGCUUGAAUAGAUUAGCAUGGAAUAAUAGAAUAGGAC